AGGAAUGUAGCUCAGUGGUAGAGUACUUGCCUAGGAUGCACAAGGCCCUGGGUUCAAUGCUCAGCAUUGCCA
rnacentral:tRNA from 1 species